rnacentral:lncRNA from 1 species
UGAUAACUAUAUUUUAAACCAAAAAAUUCCUCACAUAAUAAAUACAUUUUAUGCACAUUAACUUCAAAUUUACUUCAGAAAGCUAUUUACAAUAUAAAUAAUUAUAAAUGGGAACACUUUGCAAGAUAUCAUUGACAAAGCUAAUAUUUUCUACUUUACAUUCCAAAGUAAAAGUUCAAAUUACAGACUUAUACUACGAUGUCACUAAAAACUAUACAUUGCAAGAUGGUAUUUGAAAUAUUGGCA